rnacentral:rRNA from 1 species
AAGAGGGCGCGCUCUAUGGUGUUGCUGAUACAAUGGGAAAUUUGGCGGGAACGCAACGACCGCAUCUUCCGGAACGUUGAGCGCUCACCUCAAUCUGUCCUCCUGCGUGUAGACGAAGAGAGGGGCUCCUGGGCGCUGGCUGGAGGCCGACAUUUGAUGCUGCGAGAGUAG